UACGGGGGGAGCAAGCGUUGUUCGGAUUUACUGGGCGUAAAGGGCGCGUAGGCGGCCACUGCAAGUCAGUUGUGAAAUCUCCGGGCUUAACUCGGAAAGGUCAACUGAUACUGCAGGGCUAGAGUGCAGAAGGGGCAACUGGAAUUCUCGGUGUAGCGGUGAAAUGCGUAGAUAUCGAGAGGAACACCUGCGGCGAAGGCGGGUUGCUGGGCUGACACUGACGCUGAAGCGCGAAAGCUAGGGGAGCGAACGGG
rnacentral:rRNA from 1 species